GUCGUGGAGAGGGAGACAGCCCAGACCGUCGUCUAAGGUCCACAAGCGCGUGCUAAGUGGGAAAGGAUGUGGAGUCGCAUAGACAGCCAGGAGGUUGGCUCAGAAGCAGCCAUCCUUGAAAGAGUGCGUAACAGCUCACUGGUCUAGUGGUUCCGCGCCGACAAUGUAGCGGGGCUCAAGCACGCCACCGAAGACGCGGCAGUACUUUGGUACUGGGUAGGAGAGCGUCCCACGGGGGGCGAAGCGGCGGCGCAAGCCGGCCGUGGAUUCCGUGGGAGUGAGAAUGCAGACAUGAGUAGCGAAAGCGGGGUGAGGAUCCCCGCCGCUGGAUGACCAAGGGUUCCAGGGCCACGUUCAUCGUCCCUGGGUGAGUCGGGUCCUAAGGCGAGGCCGACAGGCGUAGUCGAAUGGAUGAACGGGUCGAUAUUCCCGUACCGGCUGGCGACCGAUCAAACCGGAACCGUGAGCACUAACCUCCAUUAUUCUCGUGAUGUUCCCUUCGGGGUUCGGAUCGGGGUGGUGUUGGGACCGUAGCGGGAGUAGGUCAGCGCAGGAGUGACACGGAAGGGUGGCCGGCUCCGGAGGUGGUUUUCCGGGGCCAAGCACGCGGCCCGUCCCCCAGGCAAAUCCGGGGGGCGUGAGGGUGAGGUGCGAUGGGACGCGCGUUUAGCGUGGAUCCGGUGAUCCCGGCCGUCGAGAAAAGCUUCGGCGUGAGGGCGUCAGUCCGCCCGUACCCCAAACCGACACUGGUGGUCAGGUAGAGAAUACCAAGGCGAUCGAGCGAAUCCUGGUCAAGGAACUCGGCAAAUCACUCCCGUUCCUUCGGUUUAAGGGAGACCCCCGAUGGUGAACCAACUCGCUUGGGGAGCUUUUGGGGGUGGCACAGACCAGGGGGUAGCGACUGUUUACCAAAAACACAGGUGCAUGCGAAGACGCAAGUCGCUGUAUAUGCACUGACGCCUGCCCGGUGCCGGAAGGUUAAGAGGAUCCGUCAUCCCUUCGGGGGGAAGCGGUGAAUUCAAGCCCCGGUAAACGGCGGUGGUAACUAUAACCAUCCUAAGGUAGCGAAAUUCCUUGUCGGGUAAGUUCCGACCUGCACGAAUGGCGUAACGACUUCCCCACUGUCUCGACCAGGAGCUCGGCGAAAUUGCAGUACGAGUAAAGAUGCUCGUUAAGCGCAGAAGGACGAAAAGACCCCGGGACCUUUACUAUACCUUGGUAUUGGCAUUCGGUGUGGAUUGUGUAGCAUAGGCGGGAGACGUCGAGGCGUGGCCGCCAGACCGCGCGGAGUCGCAAGGUGAAAUACCGCUCUGUUCGCAUUGGAUGUCUAACCACGACCAGUCAUCCUGGUCUGGGACAGUG
rnacentral:rRNA from 1 species